rnacentral:rRNA from 1 species
UGGGGAAUAUUGCACAAUGGGCGAAAGCCUGAUGCAGCGACGCCGCGUGAGGGAUGACGGCCUUCGGGUUGUAAACCUCUUUCAGUAGGGAAGAAGCGAAAGUGACGGUACCUGCAGAAGAAGCGCCGGCUAACUACGUGCCAGCAGCCGCGGUAAUACGUAGGGCGCAAGCGUUAUCCGGAAUUAUUGGGCGUAAAGAGCUCGUAGGCGGUUUGUCGCGUCUGCCGUGAAAGUCCGGGGCUCAACUCCGGAUCUGCGGUGGGUACGGGCAGACUAGAGUGAUGUAGGGGAGACUGGAAUUCCUGGUGUAGCGGUGAAAUGCGCAGAUAUCAGGAGGAACACCGAUGGCGAAGGCAGGUCUCUGGGCAUUAACUGACGCUGAGGAGCGAAAGCAUGGGGAGCGAACAGGAUUAGAUACCCUGGUAGUCCAUGCCGUAAACGUUGGGCACUAGGUGUGGGGGACAUUCCACGUUUUCCGCGCCGUAGCUAACGCAUUAAGUGCCCCGCCUGGGGAGUACGGCCGCAAGGCUAAAACUCAAAGGAAUUGACGGGGGCCCGCACAAGCGGCGGAGCAUGCGGAUUAAUUCGAUGCAACGCGAAGAACCUUACCAAGGCUUGACAUGGGCCGGACCGGGCUGGAAACAGUCCUUCCCCUUUGGGGCCGGUUCACAGGUGGUGCAUGGUUGUCGUCAGCUCGUGUCGUGAGAUGUUGGGUUAAGUCCCGCAACGAGCGCAACCCUCGUUCCAUGUUGCCAGCGCGUAAUGGCGGGGACUCAUGGGAGACUGCCGGGGUCAACUCGGAGGAAGGUGGGGACGACGUCAAAUCAUCAUGCCCCUUAUGUCUUGGGCUUCACGCAUGCUACAAUGGCCGGUACAAAGGGUUGCGAUACUGUGAGGUGGAGCUAAUCCCAAAAAGCCGGUCUCAGUUCGGAUUGGGGUCUGCAACUCGACCCCAUGAAGUCGGAGUCGCUAGUAAUCGCAGAUCAGCAACGCUGCGGUGAAUACGUUCCCGGGCCUUGUACACACCGCCCGUCAAGUCACGAAAGUUGGUAACACCCGAAGCCGGUGGCCUAACCCCUUGUGGGAGGGAGCUGUCGAAGGUGGGACUGGCGAUUGGGACU